GAGGAAUAUUGGGCAAUGCCCGCAAGGGUGACCCAGCAACGCCGCGUGGAGGAUGAAUGUCGUAAGAUUGUAAACUCCUGUUAGAGGGGAAGAAUAGUACCGGUUGGACCGGUAUAUGACUGUACCCUCAGAGAAAGCCCCGGCUAACUACGUGCCAGCAGCCGCGGUAAUAAGUAGGGGGCAAGCGUUGUCCGGAUUUACUGGGUGUAAAGGGCGCGCAGGCGGGAUAAAAAGUCAGUGGUGAAAGCCUACAGCUUAACUGUAGAACUGCCUUUGAUACUUUUAUUCUUGAGUUCGGGAGAGAGGGACGGAAUUCCAGAUGUUAUGGUGAAAUACGUAGAUAUCUGGAAGAACACCAGUUGCGAAGGCGGUCUCUUGGUCCGACACUGACGCUGAGGCGCGAAAGCGUGGGGAGCAA
rnacentral:rRNA from 1 species